rnacentral:rRNA from 1 species
GGUGCUGAUAGCAAAGAGGUUCCACCUGUUCCCAUUCCGAACACAGAAGUUAAGCUCUUUAACGUCAAAAAUACUUGGCUGGCGACGGCCCGGGAAGAUAGAU